GGAAAAAUAAGAUGUAGUUUCUACCAUUAAUCUCACAGUAGGACUAAUGAUUAGCUCAAUUAUGCUAACCGUUAUAGCGGAACCUUUACAAAGAGAGACUUCUCAGCAGAAAUUAUUAUCAUGGGGUUGUUUUCACAGGAAAAAAGGCUCAUUUACAGGAGCUCCCACUCAGGUUCACAGAUGUUGCAUGUGGACGAUUCCGUUGAGUGUAAACAUGGUGAAGGAAGAGAAGGUAAUUGAGAGAGCUCAACGUGCUGGCUCGUUUCAGCAUCCACGUCUGCAUACAAAACAGCCAAUUGCUCGUAUUCCUUUAUUCUUCUCUUUCGAGGAGCAAAU
rnacentral:misc_RNA from 1 species